GUCUACCAUGCGCACCAUGAUCCCUUCUCAAAAGGAAGGGCUUCGGUUUCCUCCACACUCUUUUCGCGGCAUGCUCAAAGGAAACGAGCAGAGAAGGUAUGUCCAAGAAAACAAAUAUCCAAUUUCACUGGAAUUGCAAAAUACUGCAUACACUUUUCAAGGGCAUCCCUGGUAUUGAUUUGUCCUGCUGCGGGUAAUGAGGAUGUUUUCUCUCAUGCGUCCUUGGCAGAUGUUGAUAUUGAUUGGAGGUUGACUGGGAAGACCUAGAAUAUUUCCCAGCAUUUCUCAG